AUGAACGCUGGCGGCGUGCCUAAUACAUGCAAGUCGAGCGAACAGACGAGGAGCUUGCUCCUCUGACGUUAGCGGCGGACGGGUGAGUAACACGUGGAUAACCUACCUAUAAGACUGGGAUAACUUCGGGAAGCCGGAGCUAAUACCGGAUAAUAUAUUGAACCGCAUGGUUCAAUAGUGAAAGACGGUUUUGCUGUCACUUAUAGAUGGAUCCGCGCCGCAUUAGCUAGUUGGUAAGGUAACGGCUUACCAAGGCAACGAUGCGUAGCCGACCUGAGAGGGUGAUCGGCCACACUGGAACUGAGACACGGUCCAGACUCCUACGGGAGGCAGCAGUAGGGAAUCUUCCGCAAAGGGCGAAAGCCUGACGGAGCAACGCCGCGUGAGUGAUGAAGGUCUUCGGAUCGUAAAACUCUGUUAUUAGGGAAGAACAAAUGUGUAAGUAACUAUGCACGUCUUGACGGUACCUAAUCAGAAAGCCACGGCUAACUACGUG
rnacentral:rRNA from 1 species